rnacentral:lncRNA from 15 species
AUCGAAUACAGGGCCUCGGGGGAUUACUUUUCACAAGUAAGAUUGAACAUUACAAUUGGUUGUAUUUUGUGAAUCGAAUAUUACUGUACUGUAUUUAUGUCCACCAGCGAAAUCAUAGCCAGCGAGCUAAGCUAUGUUUAUUACCGGUGUUCACCUGGCUAUGAACUGAGACUUUUUCUACCACUUUAAUGAGUUUAGAAACAUUAUUUUAAAGUCGAAAUACUACAUAGUGUUGCUUUAAAAAUACAGACAACAGAACAUCUGAUUGUAGAAUAGUUUGCAAACAAGCUUAUUCCCAAUUUAAGCAGCUUUGGUUCAUUAUCAACAGAUAUGCAUCAAAAUAGGAGUUUUGUUGAAGAAAGGUUGUAAUAAAUUUGAAGGAAGAAAAUAAGCUUGACCUCCUUUGUAAAAUGUUUUUGUGUAGACUCUCCCGAAUCUCCCGUUUUCAUUUUGAAGGUUUCCCAAAGACAAAGAUGGGAGGAAGAAGUGGGAAGGGGCUUUGAGGAAGGAAGGAUUCACUGCAAGUGAUUCAUCCGUGCUUUGCUGUGAAGAUUUUAAGCAGGGCGAUUUUGAUAGGACAGGUCAGAUAGUCCGACUCAGAGAUGGUGUUAUUCCAUCCAUCUUCAGCUUCCCGGUUCACCUCCAAAUAGUAGGUGUAUCAUCAUAGGGCUAUUAGCAUUCAUAAAUGUAAAUAUUCUAUUAUCAAUCACAGCCCAGGGUGAGAUACUUAUCCCUGUAUAUUCUUUUCAAGUAUUAUGCUACUUCAUUUUAGCCAGAAAAGGGCAGGACUACGUCUACCUCCGGAAGAGCUGAAGAGAGUCUGUCCAUGGCCUUUCAGGUGCCCCAGAAACUGCAACCUCACACCCACAACCUCAGCCUAAUGAUGAUCAUGGCUAUGCCUUGCCCGCUUCUCCUACCGCUCUUAAGACCAGACUCAAUGAAGCCUUAGCAAGAGUGGAAAGUCUGGAGCGAGAGAAGAAGAAUGACAUGGCCAGAGAAAAGAGGGAAAAUAACCUCAUUAAUGAAGAGUUCAAAGAGAGGCUUGAAUUCUACUCAGGUAAGAUGAAAUUAGCACUUUGAAAU